rnacentral:rRNA from 1 species
UUCGCAAUGCCCGAAAGGGUGACGAAGCGACGCCGCGUGGGUGAAGAAGGCCUUCGGGUUGUAAAACCCUGUCAGGAGUUAUGAAAUGUAAGUGCGCUAAUAUCGUGCUUAUUUGACAAAGGCUCCAAAGGAAGCCACGGCUAACUCUGUGCCAGCAGCCGCGGUAAUACAGAGGUGGCGAGCGUUGUUCGGAAUUAUUGGGCGUAAAGAGCACGUAGGUGGGUUUGCAAGUCAGAUGUGAAAGCCUUCUGUUCAACGGAAGAAUUGCAUCUGAAACUGCUAAUCUUGAGUAUAGGAGGGGAGAAUGGAACUUCUGGUGGAGCGGUGAAAUGCGUAGAUAUCAGAAGGAACGCCGGCGGCGAAAGCGAUUCUCUGGCCUAUUACUGACACUCAGUGUGCGAAAGCUAGGGGAGCAAACGGGAUUAGAUACCCCGGUAGUCCUAGCCGUAAACGAUGGGCACUAAGUAGA